rnacentral:rRNA from 1 species
CCUACGGGGAGCAGCAGUGGGGAAUAUUGGACAAUGGGCGAAAGCCUGAUCCAGCCAUGCCGCGUGUGUGAAGAAGGCCUUCGGGUUGUAAAGCACUUUCAGUGGGGAAGAAAGCCUUGGGGCUAAUACCCUCGAGGAAGGACAUCACCCACAGAAGAAGCACCGGCUAACUCCGUGCCAGCAGCCGCGGUAAUACGGAGGGUGCGAGCGUUAAUCGGAAUUACUGGGCGUAAAGCGCGCGUAGGCGGUCUGAUAAGCCGGUUGUGAAAGCCCCGGGCUCAACCUGGGAACGGCAUCCGGAACUGUCAGGCUAGAGUGCAGGAGAGGAAGGUAGAAUUCCCGGUGUAGCGGUGAAAUGCGUAGAGAUCGGGAGGAAUACCAGUGGCGAAGGCGGUCUUCUGGACUGACACUGACGCUGAGGUGCGAAAGCGUGGGUAGCAAACAGGAUUAGAUACCCCAGUAGUC